UCCUGGCUCAGGAUGAACGCUAGCGGCAGGCCUAACACAUGCAAGUCGAGGGGUAGAGAGAGCUUGCUCUCUUGAGACCGGCGCACGGGUGCGUAACGCGUAUGCAAUCUACCUUAUACAGGGGAAUAGCCCAGGGAAACUUGGAUUAAUGCCCCAUAGUAUUAAGAAACGGCAUUGUUUUUUAAUUAAAGAUUUAUCGGUAUAAGAUGAGCAUGCGUACCAUUAGCUUGUUGGUGUGGUAACGGCACACCAAGGCUACGAUGGUUAGGGGCCCUGAGAGGGGGAUCCCCCACACUGGUACUGAGACACGGACCAGACUCCUACGGGAGGCAGCAGUGAGGAAUAUUGGACAAUGGGCGAGAGCCUGAUCCAGCCAUGCCGCGUGCAGGAAGACGGCCCUAUGGGUUGUAAACUGCUUUUUUACGGGAAGAAACACCGCUACGUGUAGCGGCUU
rnacentral:rRNA from 1 species